ACGAACGCUGGCGGCGUGCUUAACACAUGCAAGUCGAGCGGUAAGGCCCUUUCGGGGGUACACGAGCGGCGAACGGGUGAGUAACACGUGGGUGACCUGCCCUCAGCUCUGGGAUAAGCCUGGGAAACUGGGUCUAAUACUGGAUAUGACUCCACGGUGCAUGUCGUGGGGUGGAAAGCCUUGUGCGGCUGAGGAUGGGCCCGCGGCCUAUCAGCUUGUUGGUGGGGUGANGGCCUACCAAGGCGACGACGGGUAGCCGGCCUGAGAGGGCGACCGGCCACACUGGGACUGAGACACGGCCCAGACUCCUACGGGAGGCAGCAGUGGGGAAUAUUGGACAAUGGGCGAAAGCCUGAUCCAGCAAUGCCGCGUGUGUGAAGAAGGCCUGCGGGUUGUAAAGC
rnacentral:rRNA from 1 species